GACGAACGCUGGCGGCGUGGAUUAGGCAUGCAAGUCGAACGGUAUCAUCCUUUCGGGGGUGAGAGAGUGGCGAACUGGUGAGUAACACGUAGGUUAUCUACCCUCAAGACGGGGACAACCCAGGGAAACUUGGGCUAAUACCGGAUGUGAGCAACUUUUUAGUUGUUUGAAAGGUGGCGUAAGCUGUCGCUUGGGGAUGAGCCUGCGUCCUAUUAGUUAGUUGGUGAGGUAACGGCUCACCUAGGCAAUGAUAGGUAGGCGGCCUUAACGGGUGGUCGCCCACACUGGGAUUGAGAUACGGCCCAGACUCCUACGGGAGGCAGCAGUCGAGAAUAGUCUACAAUGGUCGGAAGACUGAUAGUGCGACGCCGCGUGAACGAUGAAUCCCUUCGGGGUGUAAAGUUCUUUUAUAUGUGAGCAGUGCUUCUUAUAUUAAGAGUAUGGGGAGAGAGAUAUUAGCAUAUGAAUAAGCAACGGCUAACUCCGUGCCAGCAGCCGCGGUAACACGGGGGNUGCGAGCGUUGUCCGGAAUUACUAGGCGUAAA
rnacentral:rRNA from 1 species